CCCGGCCAAGAAGGCCACCCCGGCGAAGAAAACCGACGCGGUGACGAAGAAGACCCCGGCCAAGAAGGCCACCCCGAAGGCGACCGCCAAGGGCGGCAAGGCGAAUCCGGUGGCGGUGUCCGAGGACGACAAGUACGACGACCUUCCCGCAGACUUUGAGGACGAGGAGAUCCCCGAGGAGGAGGCGUUUGCACCAUCCGACGAUAAAAAAUACGCCAAGAUUUUUGGGGGGUUGGACCUUCCAGAUGACUUUGAUGACGAGGAGAUUGACGAGGACGCCGCGUUCACCGCGGAGGACAAGAAGAAGUAUGGCAAAAUCUUCUCACCGGCGACGAAGAAAACGGAGACUAAGAAAGCCGCGCCUCCCAAGGCGAAGGCUGAGGCCAAGAAGACCCCGGCGAAGAAGGCCACCCCGAAGGCGACCGCCAGGGGGGGCAAGGCCGCGAAGGCGAAUCCGGUGGCGGUGUCCGAGGACGACAAGUACGACGACCUUCCCGCAGACUUUGAGGACGAGGAGAUCCCCGAGGAGGAGGCGUUUGCACCAUCCGACGAUAAAAAAUACGCCAAGAUUUUUGGGGGGUUGGACCUUCCAGAUGACUUUGAUGACGAGGAGAUUGACGAGGACGCCGCGUUCACCGCGGAGGACAAGAAGAAGUAUGGCAAAAUCUUCUCACCGGCGACGAAGAAAACGGAGACUAAGAAAGCCGCGCCUCCCAAGGCGAAGGCUGAGGCCA
rnacentral:lncRNA from 1 species